rnacentral:rRNA from 1 species
GCAAGUCGAGCGAACGGACGAGAAGCUUGCUUCUCUGACGUUAGCGGCGGACGGGUGAGUAACACGUGGAUAACCUACCUAUAAGACUGGGAUAACUUCGGGAAACCGGAGCUAAUACCGGAUAAUAUUUUGAACCGCAUGGUUCAAAAGUGAAAGACGGUCUUGCUGUCACUUAUAGAUGGAUCCGCGCUGCAUUAGCUAGUUGGUAAGGUAACGGCUUACCAAGGCAACGAUGCAUAGCCGACCUGAGAGGGUGAUCGGCCACACUGGAACUGAGACACGGUCCAGACUCCUACGGGAGGCAGCAGUAGGGAAUCUUCCGCAAUGGGCGAAAGCCUGACGGAGCAACGCCGCGUGAGUGAUGAAGGUCUUCGGAUCGUAAAACUCUGUUAUUAGGGAAGAACAUAUGUGUAAGUAACUGUGCACAUCUUGACGGUACCUAAUCAGAAAGCCACGGCUAACUACGUGCCAGCAGCCGCGGUAAUACGUAGGUGGCAAGCGUUAUCCGGAAUUAUUGGGCGUAAAGCGCGCGUAGGCGGUUUUUUAAGUCUGAUGUGAAAGCCCACGGCUCAACCGUGGAGGGUCAUUGGAAACUGGAAAACUUGAGUGCAGAAGAGGAAAGUGGAAUUCCAUGUGUAGCGGUGAAAUGCGCAGAGAUAUGGAGGAACACCAGUGGCGAAGGCGACUUUCUGGUCUGUAACUGACGCUGAUGUGCGAAA